UUGCUGUAGAAAUUAGGCUGU
rnacentral:snRNA from 1 species